rnacentral:rRNA from 1 species
CUUACGAAACUAGCCCCGAUCUUGGGAUUGUGCCACGGAGGGAAAAUAUGUGAGGUAUAUGGAGUCUAGGCUCUGUUAAGGCGCUCAAUCAAGGGUCUUAAUGAUUUAGUAUGGGAUAUUAGGUGAGCCCGGACUGUAGACCAGUUAAUCGAGUGCCGGCGCCGACCGCCCUUGAGCGCUGAUCGUUUGUAUGGGUAGGUAUCGACCUAGGUAAGGGUCAAAAGGGGAAGGCUUGGGGGUUGUAGGAGGGGUUUAGGGGUUUAGUUGCUCCGCUGCGGCUCGAGGCCGUCUUGGCUCAGCGGCGUGAGCCCGAGCUAGUCACUAGGUGCUCGAGCAGGCGGGUGGUGCUGCGGCUGUUUCCAGCUCCUCAUGCCCCUAGAUGGAGGCGGCCCGCAGCAGCGGCGCCAGCGCCACUACCGGCGGCGGCGUCUAGAUAAGCGCUCCAGUGCCAGCGGCGGGUAGUGUGCCCGCGCGUCCACCAAAGUGUACCGCGGGUGCAGGGAGUUCUUCAAGUUGCUGGGUUAAUUCACCGUGGGUGUCGAAUCUAUUUAGGGUCGUUCGUUGAGCACGCCGCCACGUCGAGAAAAUUUAACCCACGUCUUCAGAAGAAGGAGGGAAACGUAGAGGGAGAGUCGGGAAAAUUUACCGCGCGGCGGCUCGUCGCUAACCGUAACGUCGAGGUGCGCCACUAGUACCGCGGCGGCGAGAAGCAAGAGGAGGAGGAGACGGAACGGUGGAACGGCUCUCUGUGGCGACGACGCGACUGGACGGCACUGAAGGGGCUGCCCAAGUAGAAGCCGCGCCCGUGGAGCCGGAAGGUCCACCUUCCCCGACGACGUCUUCCACCAUCCUUCGGGUCGUAGACCCUGUGGAAGUGGGUAGUUCCAAUGAGGAUACUAUUCAGAUGGCGUCUAUAGAGUCGUCUAGUCAUAGUAGUAAUAUUCCUACUACAUUUUGAAUACAUACUCUACCCAAAUCUGCGCAUGUCUAAGAGGUAGCGUACCGGGGCCGAAUAUGGUCUACCUUCUCCUCUCUAGUUAGGCUUCCCGAACCUCAUGAUGUUGUUGAAUUAUCUACUUGACUAUGCCUUGCCGUAUGUUGGAGUACAGUGUUAGAUGGUAAAACUAGAGGGAGUCAGGGAAGUCCUACUUAUGUUGCCUGACGAGUCGGGGUCUAAGUAUCUGCUAAUGUGGCGCAUACGACUUCGGACGAAGUUCUCGAAACCCCUGUCCCAUUUCAUGACCCAGUGGCAGUUGCUCGGGUUGUAUCUUUGGUAUCCUCCGAAUCUGUCACCGCACAACGGUGGUGUCGCGACGAGGGUAGGGAAGCCCUUGAUGUGGUCCCCCCUAAGAUGUUGCCUCGGCAUGUAUCGGCGGGUGGUGGAGGACGAACGUGUACGGAGUCGUCACAGGGACAUAUCUCGGUUCAUAGUCCGUUGAGUUUCUCCUGUCUAUCCUAAAUGAGAGAACCCGACCACCGUACUCGGUCGAUGGCUAAGUAGCCUCCUACGUCGACGACGUAGCUCCUACUUACUGAAGGUGUAACCUACCAAAUACGUAGGAAACCACAUACCCCUGAUGGGAUGACACUACUCCUCGUCCCAUCCGCGUGCCAACGGCCUAAAAUGUCGUCUCGUCAGCCUCUUUAACGGGCCUAGUAAACUGAAGCAGCCGAAGUUGGUGAUGGAACAACAAGACCGCGCUCGGGUACUAUCGCGCAAGUUAUGAAGUUAUACUUCGCCUCCCUGAUGAUACGACUGCGUAUGCGGUAGCGUUUAGGUAAGCUACUAUAGGUUCUCCCGGCGGAACUCAUACGAGGAGCCCGAGAUCCCUCCGAUGACCUGGUGGAUUUUGAGUUGAUGCCCUUGGGUGGUCAGUAAAAGAAAAAAAAAAAUCUUUUCCUCCUACUGGGGGCCGGAAACGUAGACCCGCUACGUAUGCCGGUGAAAUAAUUAAUAAGAGUGUUCUGGAAUGUUUCAGUAUAUUGUCAUUCUGAUUUCGGCGGCAGAUUCGUUGUUUGACAGCGAUGUGGAUAGGUCAACUACUUCCCCGCGUCUAUCGGACCCGGAUUAUGGUUUGUCUGUAGCGUCGGUUCGGAUUGUAGAUUCUGGACUCUGGGGUUGGAUCGGUGAACGACCCAGACCCCGUGUGUGACCAGGCCGCACGAGAGUCUCCGGCGGCGGCGGUUGACGGUGGCGAGGUAGAAGUCUUAACAUGACUACGUAGUUGGAACGAGCCAGGUCGAUAGCAGCUGCGGUGGUGCCGCGGGUUGCCGUGGAGGAGGGACGCGCGUUUGUCGACUUGUGCAGCGCCAGCGGUGACUAUGUGGAGUCGCGGUACGACGGUUCAUGGUGGUCGGCUGUGUCGAACUUCAGGAACCUCCUAGACAGCACGCAUCGUGGACGGCUGGUCCGUACUGGUUCGCAUCGUGGACAGCUAGUCCGUACUGAACUGUAGAGGUGGCUUCGAGGCACGUUCUGCUUCGGCGAGGUGGAGGACGGAGACUGAAGGUCGUGACGAGGUGUUUGCUACGAGUGUUCUCUCUUUGCUGUGGCGUCACGGCGGUAGUAGGCCAGACCUUGUGGUCUAGGAUCCCAAAGGGGGCCUCGUCAUGCUCACCCAGCUGCCAUCAGUGUACUGCUACGGAAGUAGUUCCAUUGCGGCACCUUGCGGCGGUAGCGUGCGGCAGCCGAGCCAAAAGUGGCCGUUGAUGCAGAGGGGCUGAGCGUCGACCACGAUCUACUGCCUAGGGCUCUAGGCUUGUGGGUCGGAGUCCGGCUGGUGGAGACUUCCUUCUCUACUGGUGGUGGCAUCCGACGUGGCCAGUCUUGUCUAGACUUGGCUCCACGGCGACUGCUCUGGUGGUCCGGGAGGUGCGGCAGCAGCGGCUAGACUUCCGUCGUGCGUGCGGUGGCGUCGGUUCGGCCGGCGGCGGCUGGCGUCGGCGGCGGGCUUCCCGGUAGGCGUCGCGGGCGUCGGGACCGGCGGUCCUGCCCGGCCGGAGGGCGGCGGACGACGUCGGUAAGCGGCGCGGCGUCUAGGGUCUAGCCAGCGCGGUGGUGUGCGGAACCCCAGGCGGGGUGGGGUCUCUGCGCGCACUCUCCUCUAGGGGGCGGUGGCGGAAUCGGGCCGCCGCAGGAGGCCGCCGCCGCCUCCCUCUCCUCCCUCAAACGCCGCCGCCGCCGCCGAUCCAAAGACCGAGGCGGGCUCAGCGGGAUCCCCCUCCUGCUGCACCCCCGAUCGUUGCUACGUUGACCUUUAAGUUUUGGGUGGUCAGUACUAGGUACUUUUGCCAUUCGACUUUUUCUUUUUUGGACGAGCGACGUAUACGAUAGGAAGAAAGUCCUCUAUUCGACUGUGGUACUUAUGGUCAAUCCCACCAAACUAGACUUUACGUUUUGUACGACUGGAGACAUUUUAGUUUUUAGUUGCCGUACCUUUUUAGAAAACAAACUACAAAGUCCUAUGCCUCUGCGGAGGCUUGAGGGCGCCUUCCAGCUUAUGCUGCUGCUGUUGUCUAGUCUCAAGGACGUUCUAAUAGACCUUCAAGAGAUAGACAGGUAUUCCUUGCCUAGUUUGCGCGCCCCUAUGAAGCACACCAGAAAGGAGCUGCAAAAGCUCAAGGAGAAGCCGAUGGCCUACGCGAAGCCGGACGCGCCGCAGCUGUACUUGUCGCUCCCCUCCUGUUCUAUGCACUCCUUGAGACGGGCGACCAUGAGGCCGAAAGAGUUUCCGCCGCUCGACGCCGGCCGCAGUAGCAGCCCCUUUCGGAUGCAGCGGCGCACUGAACCCGAAGACGUGUGCAAAAGCAACAGCAACUCCGGUACCGCGGCCACGGCGAAACCAACAAAAUAAUUAAGAGAAGAGAUAGACAUAUAAAGAGGCACUUUGUAACUCAACACAUAAACCUGCGCGGUCGUAGUGGAAUUUUAAUGAAACCCUACGUUACAUGAAGAGCACGCACCGUAGCCAGUUUAACUGCUAGAGGUCUUUUUACACGUCGGAAUAAUAUUUGACUUUUCCCCG